rnacentral:rRNA from 1 species
GAUGAACGCUAGCGACAGGCUUAACACAUGCAAGUCGAGGGGCAUCACGGUGUAGCAAUACACUGGUGGCGACCGGCGCACGGGUGAGUAACACGUAUGCAACCUGGCCUUAUCAGGGGGAUAAUCGGGGGAAACCCCGUCUAAUACCGCGUAUAUGGUAUAGAGGCAUCUUUGUACCAAGAAAGGAGUGAUCCGGAUAAGGAUGGGCAUGCGGGACAUUAGGUAGUAGGUGAGGUAACGGCUCACCUAGCCGACGAUGUCUAGGGGUUCUGAGAGGAAGGUCCCCCACACUGGUACUGAGACACGGACCAGACUCCUACGGGAGGCAGCAGUGAGGAAUAUUGGUCAAUGGGCGGAGGCCUGAACCAGCCAAGUAGCGUGAAGGAUGAAGGUUCUAUGGAUUGUAAACUUCUUUUAUACGGGAAUAACAUCACCUACGUGUAGGUGCCUGCAUGUACCGUAUGAAUAAGGGCCGCUAAUUCCGUG